GCCAUAAUAUGUAUUUAAGGCAUCUUUUAUACAUUAAAGCUUUGGCGGUUAUAGAUGGACAUGCGCAACAUUAGCUUGUUGGUGAGGUAACGGCUCACAAGGCAACGAUGUUUAGGGGGUCUUAGAGGAUGAUCCCCCACACUGGUACUGAGACACGGACCAGACUUCUACGGGAGGCAGCAGUGAGGAAUAUUGCGCAAUGGAGGAAACUCUGACGCAGCCAUGCCGCGUGCAGGAAGAAGGUCUUAUGGAUUGUAAACUGCUUUUGUAUGCCAAGAAACCUUAGUACGUGUACUAAGCUGACGGUAGCAU
rnacentral:rRNA from 1 species